rnacentral:rRNA from 1 species
AGAUUGAACGCUGGCGGCAGGCCUGACACAUGCAAGUCGAGCGGCAGCACGGGUACUUGUACCUGGUGGCGAGCGGCGGACGGGUGAGUAAUGCCUAGGAAUCUGCCUGGUAGUGGGGGAUAACGCUCGGAAACGGACGCUAAUACCGCAUACGUCCUACGGGAGAAAGCAGGGGGACCUUCGGGCCUUGCGCUAUCAGAUGAGCCUAGGUCGGAUUAGCUAGUUGGUGAGGUAAUGGCUCACCAAGGCGACGAUCCGUAACUGGUCUGAGAGGAUGAUCAGUCACACUGGAACUGAGACACGGUCC